GACAUACCUGGAUAACAAACAAUGACAGGGGACAGGACCCUAACUCCAAGACACAGACAUGAACGCAGGACACACACACACACACACACACACAAAAUUA